rnacentral:tRNA from 1 species
GGCCGGUUAGCUCAGUCAGUUGAGUGUGGUGCUAACAAUGCAAAGGUCGCAGGUUCGAUUCCUGUUCGGUCC